GGCUGGUCUGAAAGUGAGUUAUCUCAGUUGAUAGUUCACAGUCAGCUAUAGAUCAAACUCCUAGUUCUCCUCUUUGCCCCCCUUCUCACUGAUGCAGUUGACUUGUCCUUU
rnacentral:Y_RNA from 1 species